AGAACGAACGCUGGCGGCGUGGAUAAGACAUGCAAGUCGAACGGAAUAUCCUUUGUAGCAAUACAACGGAUGUUCAGUGGCGUAAGGGUGCGUAACACGUGGGCAAUCUACCGAGAAGUGGGGGAUAGCUCGCCGAAAGGCGAAUUAAUACCGCAUGUGGUUAGCGAAGACAUCUUCGCGACACUAAAGCCGGGGACCAUAGCAAUAUGGCCUGGCGCUUCUUGAUGAGCCCGCGGCCUAUCAGCUUGUUGGCGGGUAACGCCCACCAAGGCUAUGACGGGUAGCUGGUCUGAGAGGACGACCAGCCUCACUGGAACUGAGACACGGUCCAGACACCGUACGGGUGCAGCAGUCGAGUAAUUUUCUCAAUGGGGCAACCGUGAAGGAGCGACGCCGCGUGGAGGAUGAGGUCUUCGGAUUAGUAAACUCUGUCAGUUAGGAACAAGUUGUCGCCGACUUAACGUACCGGCGCUGAUAGUACCUGAAGAGGAAGAGACG
rnacentral:rRNA from 1 species